AGGAAAAUAUCAUCUUCAGUUGUGAAAGACUUAAAAAAGUUUUUUAUUUUUUAAGAUAAAAAUAAAUAAUGGUUCGGGGCCUAUAGCUCAGUUGGUUAGAGCACACGCCUGAUAAGCGUGAGGUCGAUGGUUCGAGUCCAUUUAGGCCCACCAAAGUAUUUAUCUUAAGAAAACAAGCUCUUUGAAAAGUAGAUAAAU
rnacentral:misc_RNA from 1 species